ACACAGAGCGCAUUAGGACCAAGGAAGCCAGCACCUGCGAGAAGAGACAGCCCUAACAUCGUAUGGAAGUGCUAUUGCUUGGGAUCUCUGAGUCAAGUGGGCACCCUGAGCACGGGGAGCUCUUUCAUCCCCUCUGCAAAUCCUCCAGCCCAGCCAUGAAAGCCCAAUGGAGAACAUAGUACCAGCUACUUCCAGAUGGUCUUCCAGGACAACAGGCACAGAGAGGACCACUGCCGCCGGUAAAUGCCACUGAUGUGAGCGCUUGUCUCUGAAGCAUGCCCCUGCUCAGGAGUCAGAGCUUGAAUCUAAUCCACUACUGAAGGACCAGCCAGAGGACUACCCAAAGCACCAGCGUGGUACCUUUGCAGCAGCAAGUGUGGGAGAACACGUGGGCUGCUGAAUCUUCAGGCAGAUGACAUGAUAUUUUAUUGCUCUCUAUUUCUAGAAACCCUGAACCUUCGUUCCUAAGUGGCGUACGGUGCAUUAGUGAUAGUGGGAGGUGGCAAAUGCAUGAUUCAGCAUUGCCUAGGUCUUUGCCCUUCAGUACAGGCCCAUCACACAUGUUGGAAAGAGCUUUUAACUGUGGGUGGGAACGGGCUAUUUGGCUGUGAGGGCAGUCCAGAAGGAUGCUCCUGGGAGAGGGGCAUGUGCCUCUGCAUGUGCUCUGGCUCUGUCCCUUAAAUCUGCCCAUCUUCCUAAUGCAUUGCACUCCUUCACCUAGUUUUAGGUAUGUUUUAGACCUGUUUCCUACGGAAGGAAGUUUUGUGCAAUCUCGUGGACUACCCAUUUUGUCACCCUUAUGUUUGAGCCUGUUAGCCAAUUUUGACCAAAUUUGACAAAGGCGGCCUCAAAAAUAGCAAGGAUCCUGUAAGUUUCACCAAAAAAAGUUGCAUGCAGGAGAGAAGAAGCAUCGUUCCAAAGUUCGCCUCUGAGAGUCACCAGUGCUGCAGCCCAUGCCAGCCUGCAUGCUGUCAUCAAAGUACUCUUCCAGGGGAGACCUGCAAGGCAAAAAGAAGCUGUAUUUUAUAGGGAUAGGAGGAGAUGAGACCGAAUUGUACAACAAUUCAGCCCCAAAGGCAGUCAAACCCAAGGCACAAACCCCAAGAGAGCAUGCCUGGUCAUUUCUGUUGCUCACUGGGCUGCUCCAUCCUGCUCUGGACUCGGCCCAGCCACCAGCAGCUGGAUGGUGCUGGCUGCGUAGGGUCAGGGACUGAGGUCAGGAACAGCUGAACAAACCCUGUGUCUCUGCACAAAGAAAUCUUAAUGGGAGGAGGAGGAGGAGGCAGUGUCCAGGAUGUCCCCAGAUAGUACGCUGAUGUCCGUGAAUCAUAAGUUGCUCUGCAAUCACAAGGCUGGGUCCUGUCCUUUUCCCCCAGUAUAAUCCUAUUAAAGAUCACAGGGUUGCAGCUCGUUAUGCGAGAAGAAUUUGACCUACGCUUCCCCCCCAAGCUGCUGUAAUGAGGGCUAGUCUGUGGUGGGGGCUGUUGCUAUGCUGAGAGGAAGGCAAAUGAGGCAGAUGUUUGAGGAAGGCAUUGUGUUUUCUUAGUUUUUAACUGCUAAUAAGGCAGCAGAGGAGAACAGCACAUCAUUGACUGAUUCAGUGUGUCUUGGGGCUGGAAACACCCUCUGUUUGCAGCUGCAGGAGCUGCUCAGCUCUGUUAGCCGUCCGCCCUGGAAAAAAACAGGACAACAGCUGGAGAAACGCAGCUUCUGCAUGUUUCCUUUCAUGUAAAAUUACAGUGGUGGGCUUAUUCCAUGCUGCUUUAGUCUAGCUACACCUUAAGUACAUUAGAGCCCCACCCUGGAAGAGGUUGAACUGGAGCUGAAGCAUGAACAUAAAGUAGCACAGCAAUAAAAUUACACUCUUGUGUGUGCUGGCCCAUCACUGGCACAGGCUUCUCUUGGAAGCAGCACAGUCUUCAAGCAAAGACCCAAGCAGAGAGAGUUUGUAUUGGGGGGGACCAUGCAAAUCACAGCGCAUCAGUCCAUGAACGUUAGAGGUCAAUUAAUAUCGAGGGUCAUUUUAUCCUCAAAGGUCCUUGAGCUUCCUCGCAGUAAGUCAGAUGCCCGCAAGGGUGUCAUGCUUCACAGACACUGCCAUCUGCGAAAAAAAGAGAAAUCGGCCAAAUGAUUUGCAGCCACAAUAAUCUAGAGAUGACAAACGAUGAACAACAGCAGAGUCGUCAGCUCUAUCCAAACUGAGCAUUAACUGUUCCUGUGAGUGCCAAUAAAGGAAAAAAGGUAAUAUUUUAUGCUGCCCUGGGAUGUUCUGCUUGUACUUUAUAAACGUGGAAUUUCACCCACCUGCCUUUGUGUGAGGCAGCUUGUGCUACAGUGCCCAAGAGCCUCGCAGGCAGCAUCGCAGUGCUUUGGCUAAGGCUGUGCAGCAAACCUCCGAAGGAAGGGCCCCUGGCACAGGUGCCCUGUGCCCUGGCCCUGCAGCAGCCACGUGUUCCCUCCCAGCUGCUCAGAAAGGCCACCAGUGCACAGCAUUCUCGGGGGAUUUUGAAUAGGUAUGAAGCACUUUAAAACACACUUCAGCCCGCUAGAGCAGCACAACUCGCUGCUACUGGGGAAACGAAGCUGUGCUCAUAGAAAGCCAUGGCUGCAGCUAGUCCUCGUCACCUUGUUAUAGGUGCAUUACAAAAAGCCAUUAAAUUAUUUUACUUUAACCCCUUUCUGUAUACCUCCCACACCCCUCAAGAAGUGCUAGUGUUUCAGCUGGAUUGAGACGACACCCCCCGAGCCUGGCUGUGCGGGCAGCAUCAAGUGUGGCAGGGAACAUGUACAUGUAAAGGGCUGCUUGAAACUUGGGGUAUACUGUUAGCAUGAAGCCCUCAUUCUUGGUUUUGUUCCAAUGCUUAAAGGAAAAUACUCUUUUCAGAAUCGCCCAGGAAACAGAAAUCACAGGAAAUUCAUACUGCAGACGUAGCUACAUUUUUUUUUUCCCUUUGGUGAAACACGCUUCACAGACCUGGGGUAGCUGCUGCUUUGAAGUGACACAAUCUCUGCCAUUACAGUGGAGAGGUUUGAGUGCAGAUAUUCAGCUGUAAAGAGUGGUGGAGGUGACAAGGACCAUGCCAGUUUUAGUCAGCAGUUGUCAAGGGUUUCCCGAGUCCGUAUCUCCCAGCAAACACUUUAUCAGGGAGUGUAAAAGCCCUGCGUUCCCAGCUAUUGCAUCUCUUUCAGGGAAGGGCUGGGGAUGUGUGGCAAAUAUUGGUGGGUUCCUGAGGAGCAAGGAAACUUGUGGGAAAAUCCAUGCAUCGUACUGAUGCAAUGCUGCUUGCCAAGCAACUUUGGAAACCUUCCUUCAUGUUGUUUGAAAAUUAAUGGAAAAUAAGUUGCUUCUGAAACUUUUUAGCGAUUUAGUAUUUUCCCACUGGAAAACAUUUUCUUGCAAAAUAUACUACUGUUUCUCCCCAUGUCUGUAGGGCCUUUAUUUGGUGGAAAAUGCAUCUGGGCCAGUGUUAGUUUCAAGCGGAGACAAAUAAAGCACACAGGUGUCGUCUUCACAUGAGCUAAGGUUGAAACCCUGGGUUGCUGUGGGUGCAGAUAAUUCCUGUUCAGGACGGACCCUUGCACAUGGCAGCAUUUGCAGACGGAGCAGAUGCAGGCUCUCAAGCCAGACAUCAGCACAGAGGUGAGAGUUAUCCUUCUGCUUUGCUACCCAACUUGCUGUCUUACUGAAUAAAUUGGCUGCAGCUAAACUUGGCUCUGCUGUCCAGGCUUCUUUUAAUAAACUUAAGUCUCCAUCAGAGUGCUCCAGAAAGUUUGAUAUGACAUCACUGCUGAAUAAACAGAAACCAGUAUCGAGUGGAUUUGCUGGAGAGUGCAUUCAAGACCUCAGCUAUAAUGCCAAAGUUCAGGGUGAUUCAAAAUACCAUAGAUCCCUUGUGAUUUAUAACCAUCUAAUCAGUGCUUUAAAGCAGUUAUGGACAGGCAGAGAAAGCAAGGGUGACCUACCACGAGUAUUACUUGCCCAUGAGAAAAGAAAGAAAACAAAAUGAGAUAGUACCAUUCUGGAAGCAGUUUAAAGCCCUGAUGUGCCUCUAGAUACCUGUCUGAAAAGAGACGCCCCAUAGCCCCAGACCCAUGAGGCUGGUGGGGAUAUUUGUAUUUGUUUCAACAGGGCGGGCUCCAAAGCAAACGCUCUCCUGUGUAGCCUUUCCUGCAGCCCAGAGCAAUGGCGGCACUAAACUUCAGCCAGAACCAGGACAAGUCAUCUGUACUUAACUGCAUCACUGUUUCUCCUCUUCACCCCUCCACCACCACCAUGUGCCAGUAAACUCUUACUGACCUCUACUGUUCCUCCACCUCCAGAUGAUGUGGGCAAUCUGCGUUUGUGUGGUUGCACCAACAGCUUGCAUCUAGAAAACCUGGGUCACACCGAGGGGGAGGCAAAGCUGGAAGGGGCUGCGCUCGGCAGGGGAGGUUUGGAGGAGACGUGCCCAGGGAGAGCCAUCAGGGAAAAAAUCUGAGCUGCCACGUGGGCACCUUGGAGGUGCUUACACAAGCAGGACAAGACCAGUUGUUGUUUAAACGUUUCUAGGCUGUCCACAGGCACUAGGGUAAAGUUAAUUGUCAUCGAAAGAGGAAGCUGCAUUUUGUGGUCGAAACAGUAUUUCCCAACCUUGUGGUUACCAGAGUAGUCCCAAAGGGGCCACAGACCAGAGGAAAAGUGCAUGGCAAGUGCAAACAGAUAGGGGAAGCUGUGUCUGAUGAAUAUAGGCUUCUGCUGCUCAGGUGAUAAAAGAAUCUUUCUUCUCCCUCUGCCUCUGACAUACCUAGAUACAGGCUUAUCACAGCAGGCUGCUGCCAAGCAGCUCCCUGGGACAGCACCGCAGAUGACUGUCUUUCAAGCUGCCUUCAGAGGGGGAGCAUAGGAGAAGGUGCCCCUGGAGGAAAUGUCAGAGAUGGAGAAGCAAAAAGGAACAAGCCAGGAGGGGAGGACCAAAAAAAGAAAGGAAAAAGGUGCUGGAAAGUCAAAACAAAACUGGAGGGGCGGUUAACAAGAAACUGAACAGCUGAGGAAGGAGACACCAAUGAACACAAGGCACGGACCAAGCAGCCAGUACUGAGGUGCUCCGACAGGGGUUAAAAAUGGGAUGGUACAAUAGGACUGAUGUGGAUGUCUGGGAGAUAUAGUUCUGAGUGUAAGUUUAGACUCUAGGGUGUUAAUGUGUAUUGGAGCAGUUGAGAGAGAGAGGAGCUUUAACACGGUCAGCAUCAGCUGGCCGUGUGGACAGUGGCUGGGAAGCCCUCUGAGCAAGCUGUAAAAGCAGCAGAGAGGCAGGUCAGCAUUCAGAUGCCCAGUCCUGCCGUGUCCUGCACUGACACAGCUGCUACGUGUGCCGGGACUGCCGGCGGCUCCACAACGACGAGGGCCUCCUUUAGCUCAGGCUCCCACCAAGCACCCUCAUCACGUUGCCUCUGCCGGCAUCAGUAGCUGAUUCCAGCCCCUGAACGCUGUACGACUUCUUGCUCCAGCAAAGCAGAAAAGAGUUAACUCCCCCUCAGUUCUCCUCCAGAAAAGAGAAGAUGGAAAUGUUUCAUACUGUGCUAUUUUUAAAUCGUUCAAGAAACGUAUUACUAGCAGAAGAACAGCAUAACUGACAUUUCCCAGAAUCAGCUGAUGAAAGUGCACAACACAGUGCACUCCUCUUGGGCAGUCCAGGAAAGGUAGAACAGCUUAAAAUACCUUGCAAAUAGAAAGAAAAAGCAGGAAACCAUUACAGUGCUCUGUAGGCAACACCCCAAAGUCCAUUUUAGCUGUUAGCCAUUGUACUUAAGGCAACAGAGAGCAAUUAAACAAUGAGACCACUGCAAGGUUUGUUUCCCCAUUGAAUCCUAAAAAUAGCUCCAGCUCAUUGCCAGUGAAAGGUAUCACACUGACAGGGCCAGAGACCACAGGCACCUAUCCAGAUGUUACAUAAACCUCUGUAACGAGGGUAUUCUUUAAAGUGGGGGGGUCCCCAGCCAUUUAGGCUGCGGGAUGGACACUUGGGAGCUCCCUGAGCUGUUGACAUCUCUCCACUAUCACCUGGGCUGAGACCCACCAACUGGCUUCACAUGAUCUGCUAAAUGACUCACGUGUUCCUUAUGGAGGCAGCAUGUGGCAUCAAUUAAUGUACUUAAAACUCACUCAGAAACAGGCGCAGGUAGGACAACUCAUAACAGCUGCAUACGAAAGGGUCUGAAAUGUCCCAUAUAAUCAAAUAAUUAUUGCUAUGCUCAGACAGCAGAACAUUGUCUUUCUGAGGGCUUAUUAUUUCUAAGGGCUGUUAAAGAUAAAUUUUGCAGUGGUUAUUCCAAACUAAUUUUCAUGUAGAAUAAAUUCAGGUAUUAAUGAACUUGGGCUCUUCUGUGGCCUGCAUGAGGCAGGAGGUCAGGCAAAGAGAUUACCCUGGCCUCUUCUGAAUUUAUAAUGUCGGAAGGAAUGCAAGCUCCUUGUCAAAACACACCAGCAAGCGAUAGAGCCGGCACUGCUGGGAGGUGCGCUGCAGUGAAAAACAGGUGUCCUGGAGAGCCUGUCAGAAAACACCCUUCCUGUUGGAGUGGAUAGUAAAAUUUCUACCCAGAUCAUAAAUGUGGCUUCCCCACUUCCCCUUUGUUUUCAUUACGGGCCAAAAAACCCCCCCAAACCCUUUCUUCCUUGGUUUUGAGGAAGCAGUUUGAAAUGCAGUUUCUGUGUUGCAGCUGGCCAGCGCUCUCAUUGCGAGGAGCGAGCGAGCUCCAAGGCGAGCGUCUCCUGCCAGCUGAGGAACACCAUCCUUGGACAGCUCGGCAUGCCCCAAAGUGCUUUUGGUGCUACCUUCAAACCUGGCGUGCACAGCAGUCCCCGGAGCAGCGCUGUGCACGUGAUGUCCCAAGCCCCAGCAGGGCUUCCAUCACCUGCCUCCUGUGCUGCUGCGAUGGGGGACGCUGGAGAAAGCACCUCCCAGCCUUUGAGGCGUUUGUAGGAGAGAGCCAGUUACCAAGUCUCUGAGCAGUACAAGCAAAUCUAAUGUGUGACUUGCUGUGCCUUCCUCACUUGCAAGCCAUCAUUUGUACAUAUUUGUCGUGGUACCUAGCGGGAGGCAGGCAAAACGCACAGAGAUGGGGAAAUUCUCUCAGUCACAAAGAAGAAAUAUUAGCAGAUACCAGUGGUAGCAUAGAUGUGCCCUUGGACAAAACAGAGGCACUAGGAACUGCCUGGGGACCCGGUACAGGUUAUACACUGAACAGCAACUGUGCACAAAGACGCAGAUAGAUACCCUUUCUUAGACUGCCUUACUCAAGCGCGGCGUUUGCAUACAGCUGAUAAAUGCCACCUGGUGACGACGUCUCUCAGGCCAUUUUGAACACUAUCCUGUCUCCAUACCAGCUGUUUCUGCUGGGAACAUUAUUGUACCGUGCUGCCAGACUUGGAGCCAAAUGAUCCUGGGGAGAAGGGGAGAGGGUGUUAAUGAGAUAAUAAAAGUGUAC